rnacentral:rRNA from 1 species
CGACCGUACUCCCCCAGGCGGCGAACUUAACGCGUUAGCUUCGAUACUGCGUGCCAAAUUGCACCCAACAUCCAGUUCGCAUCGUUUAGGGCGUGGACUACCAGGGUAUCUAAUCCUGUUUGCUCCCCACGCUUUCGUGCCUCAGUGUCAGUGUUGGUCCAGGUAGCUGCCUUCGCCAUGGAUGUUCCUCCUGAUCUCUACGCAUUUCACUGCUACACCAGGAAUUCCGCUACCCUCUACCACACUCUAGUCGUCCAGUAUCCACUGCAGUUCCCAGGUUGAGCCCAGGGCUUUCACAACGGACUUAAACGACCACCUACGCACGCUUUACGCCCAGUAAUUCCGAGUAACGCUUGCACCCUUCGUAUUACCGCGGCUGCUGGCACGAAGUUAGCCGGUGCUUAUUCUUUGGGUACCGUCAUCCCAACCGGGUAUUAGCCAGCUGGAUUUCUUUCCCAACAAAAGGGCUUUACAACCCGAAGGCCUUCUUCACCCACGCGGUAUGGCUGGAUCAGGCUUGCGCCCAUUGUCCAAUAUUCCCCACUGCUGCCUCCCGUAGGAGUCUGGACCGUGUCUCAGUCCCAGUGUGGCUGAUCAUCCUCUCAGACCAGCUACGGAUCGUCGCCUUGGUGGGCCUUUACCCCGCCAACUAGCUAAUCCGACAUCGGCUCAUUCAAUCGCGCAAGGUCCGAAGAUCCCCUGCUUUCACCCGUAGGUCGUAUGCGGUAUUAGCGUAAGUUUCCCUACGUUAUCCCCCACGACAGAGUAGAUUCCGAUGUAUUCCUCACCCGUCCGCCACUCGCCACCCAAGGAGCAAGCUCCUCUGUGCUGCCGUUCGACUUGCAUGUGUUAGGCCUACCGCCAGCGUUCACUCUGAGCCAGGAUCAAACUCUC